AAUUAAAGGAGUGUUUAUAUAUAUCCGACCCAACUGGCAAUUUAUUGUUUGAUUGUGAUCACAACGUUUCGACUAUAUGGUUUUGGUCCUUAUCAAUAGCUGAAAUGUUCUUUAUUAAAAAAUAUGACAACACUAUUAACUCUCAAAAGGAUACAGAGAAUUUAAAUAACAUAUAUGAUAGAUUAAUAAAGGUCGUUUAGUCUUUCUCAGUAUCUUAAACAGAGAGGUUGACACAGUGUCAUUAUGACAUGCGACUUUUUUUUCUUUCAACUUUAACUAUAACGCAGUCAAUUUAGUUCCAAGUUACAUGGAUGUUUCGUAUCUACGGUUAAGAGAUCGUUCGCCGGAGAAAGAUACUGGACGACGGCCUCUAUAAAAUAUAUUAGGUACGACCGGGGGCUACGUUAUGGCUGAAGCGCCAAUGCGGGAUAAGUCUCGGGAGGGUUGCUACCUCGGGAACCAAAUGCCUCAAGCUGCAGCUUGUAAAAGUGUCUGCUUGGCCAAUAGCAACGAGCCGUGACGCUCCCCUAAUAUAGAAGAGCGCCCCUUUUGCUCCCCAAGUUUCAGUAGUACCACGGAUAAUGGCGAACAUUCCGCGGCUGAUAUACUUCUACGACUUCCAUCGACUUGUGUUGUUAAGCAGUCAUAAAUUAAUCUCGUAAAAGAAGGACAGGACAAAAUGAAAAGAGCAGCCAGAACGGACCAUAUCACUUUCUCGCGAUUUCCGUUAAGCAUAUAUACGUCAUACAAUAUGUU